CUGGCCAGUGGGGAGGCAGAUUAUGCGGCUCUACACAACUGUUGUUUUAAUCCUCUGGCCGAGGAGAUUUAGCAAGAAAAAACAGUGGCUUUAAACCCAGCUGCCAUAUUGUAUGGAAAAGCGACGGAAAAGCUCCAGCUUUCAGAAAAAAGACGUUUCCUCAGACAACUCUUGCAAGACUUUCCAGGGAGUUUAAUAUAGUGUUUUGUUUUUUUUUCCUGGCGUUAAAAUAAACGAGUCAACAUGAAGGAUCGAUUGGAGCAACUUAAAGCGACGUGUGAUCAAGAUGAUGACGAGGUGGAGAUCGCUGUGGACAACGCAGCCUUCAUGGACGAGUUCUUCUGUCAGAUUGAAGACAUCAGGAACAGUAUUGACAAAAUCGAUGAGAACGUGGCUGAAGUGAAAAAGCUUUACUCAGUCAUCCUGUCUGCUCCCACAUCAGAUCAGAAAACGCAGGAUGACUUGGAGGCAAUCACCAAUGACAUAAAGAAGAUGGCCAACAAUGCAAGAAACAAACUCAAGACUAUUGAGAGAAAUCUGGAGUCUGAAGAGCAGGAGAGGGUGUCGGCUGAUAUGCGGAUACGUAAAUCACAGCAUGCUGUGCUGUCCAGAAAGUUUGUGGAGGUGAUGACAAAGUAUAACGAAGCACAAGUGGACUUCAGGGAGAGGAGUAAAGGACGUAUUCAGAGACAACUAGAGAUCACUGGGAAAGCAACAACAGAUGAAGAGCUGGAGGAGAUGUUGGAAAGUGGCAAUGCUGCUGUGUUUACUGCCGGGAUUGUAGACUCAGGGAUCUCUAAACAAGCCCUGAGUGAGAUCGAAUCCAGGCACAAAGACAUCGUCCGGCUGGAGAGCAGCAUCAAGGAGCUGCACGAUAUGUUUGUAGACAUCGCAAUGCUGGUGGAGAGCCAGGGUGACAUAAUAAACAACAUAGAGCAGAAUGUGUCCAAGUCAGUGGAUCACAUAAUAGAGGCGAAGGAACAGACCAAGAAAGCUGUCAGGUAUCAGACCAAAGCACGCAAGGGAGGGAUGAUCGACAGGAUUGAAAGCAACAUGGACCAGUCGGUGGGCUUUGUGGAGCGGGCUGUAGCCGACACUAAGAAAGCUGCAAAGUUUCAGCAAGAGGCUCGCCGCGUGAGUGACUCUGGUCUAAAACCAAAGAGUGGGUUCCCAAAAGCAACACAACUGUUUUUGAUUUUCUACUUGGCAAUAUAAAAUUUCUAUCACAGUCUGGACUUUUUGUUGUAAGGACUCAAAGAUGGCUGUCGUGCAUGAACACUGCUGAUGUUACCAAUGUGUAUUCUGCACAAAGGAAAACCUUAAUAACUGAAGGAGGAGACGGGACAGAUGUGAAACCUUUUAAUCAGGAGAUCAGGGUAUAAUAAUCAGGAUAUUGGAUGUUUCCACUUCCUUUAAAAUACAACAAACCCUUGAAACAAGAUGAAGACAUGUUUGAACCCUGGUGUAUUUUAUACAUACUGUUUAACUACUAAUAUGCACAGUAGACAUUGAAAAUACAGUUAAAUAAACGAUGAGUUCUGUCCUGUAGUCGUAUAUUUGGAUCUGCUGUGACUAACUGCUCGUGCUUCAUGGGAAAAAAAAGCGACUUGUGGAAUGUAUUUUUUACGCUCAGCUUUCUUUGGUUCAGCAGCAAGAUAUACGAAACAUGGAAAUUAAUUGAUUGACUCUAAAAGCAAAGUUGCUUCUGGGAAACUCGCUCUCCAUAAUGCAGACCAUCCGUACAGUGAAGACCCCGACCUCCACCUCAGUCCUGCCCUGUGAUGAUCCACAGCCCUGCAUCUUAUCGUGACCCAGCCUCCACCCUGUGGCUUCACAGCAUCGAAAACGGUGAUCCUAGUGGUGGUUGUGGUGGUUUUGCUGGCCGUGCUAGCGCUCAUAAUCGGGUUGUCAGUGGGAUUGAGAUAAUGCCCGUGUGCGGCUUGAAUAAGAGGAGAGCUAAGG